AUGAACGCUAGCGACAGGCUUAACACAUGCAAGUCGAGGGGCAGCACAGGUAGCAAUACCGGGUGGCGACCGGCGCACGGGUGAGUAACGCGUAUGCAACUUGCCUAUCAGAGGGGGAUAACCCGGCGAAAGUCGGACUAAUACCGCAUGAAGCAGGGGCCCCGCAUGGGGAUAUUUGCUAAAGAUUCAUCGCUGAUAGAUAGGCAUGCGUUCCAUUAGGCAGUUGGCGGGGUAACGGCCCACCAAACCGACGAUGGAUAGGGGUUCUGAGAGGAAGGUCCCCCACAUUGGUACUGAGACACGGACCAAACUCCUACGGGAGGCAGCAGUGAGGAAUAUUGGUCAAUGGCCGAGAGGCUGAACCAGCCAAGUCGCGUGAGGGAUGAAGGUUCUAUGGAUCGUAAACCUCUUUUAUAAGGGAAUAAAGUGCGGGACGUGUCCCGUUUUGUAUGUACCUUAUGAAUAAGGAUCGGCUAACUCCGUGCCAGCAGCCGCGGUAAUACGGAGGAUCCGAGCGUUAUCCAGAUUUAUUGGGUUUAAAGGGUGCGUAGGCGGCCUUUUAAGUCAGCGGUGAAAGUCUGUGGCUCAACCAUAGAAUUGCCGUUGAAACUGGGGGGCUUGAGUAUGUUUGAGGCAGGCGGAAUGCGUGGUGUAGCGGUGAAAUGCAUAGAUAUCACGCAGAACCCCGAUUGCGAAGGCAGCCUGCCAAGCCAUUACUGACGCUGAUGCACGAAAGCGUGGGGAUCAAACAGGAUUAGAUACCCUGGUAGUCCACGCAGUAAACGAUGAUCACUAGCUGUUUGCGAUACACUGUAAGCGGCACAGCGAAAGCGUUAAGUGAUCCACCUGGGGAGUACGCCGGCAACGGUGAAACUCAAAGGAAUUGACGGGGGCCCGCACAAGCGGAGGAACAUGUGGUUUAAUUCGAUGAUACGCGAGGAACCUUACCCGGGUUUGAACGCAUUCGGACCGAGGUGGAAACACCUUUUCUAGCAAUAGCCGUUUGCGAGGUGCUGCAUGGUUGUCGUCAGCUCGUGCCGUGAGGUGUCGGCUUAAGUGCCAUAACGAGCGCAACCCUUGCCACUAGUUACUAACAGGUAAAGCUGAGGACUCUGGUGGGACUGCCAGCGUAAGCUGCGAGGAAGGCGGGGAUGACGUCAAAUCAGCACGGCCCUUACAUCCGGGGCGACACACGUGUUACAAUGGCGUGGACAAAGGGAAGCCACCUGGCGACAGGGAGCGAAUCCCCAAACCACGUCUCAGUUCGGAUCGGAGUCUGCAACCCGACUCCGUGAAGCUGGAUUCGCUAGUAAUCGCGCAUCAGCCAUGGCGCGGUGAAUACGUUCCCGGGCCUUGUACACACCGCCCGUCAAGCCAUGGGAGCCGGGGGUACCUGAAGUCCGUAACCGCGAGGAUCGGCCUAGGGUAAAACUGGUGACUGGGGCU
rnacentral:rRNA from 1 species